rnacentral:rRNA from 1 species
GAUGAACGCUGGCGGUGUGCCUAAUACAUGCAAGUCGAGCGAACAGACGAGGAGCUUUCUCCUCUGACGUUAGCGGCGGACGGGUGAGUAACACGUGGAUAACCUACCUAUAAGACUGGGAUAACUUCGGGAAACCGGAGCUAAUACCGGAUAACAUGUUGAACCGCAUGGUUCAACAGUGAAAGACGGUCUUGCUGUCACUUAUAGCUGGAUCCGCGUCGCAUUAGCUAGUUGGUAAGGUAACGGCUUACCAAGGCAACGAUGCGUAGCCGACCUGAGAGGGUGAUCGGCGACACUGGAACUGAGACACGGUCCAGACUCCUACGGGAGGCAGCAGUAGGGAAUCUUCCGCAAUGGGCGAAAGCCUGACGGAGCAACGCCGCGUGAGUGAAGAAGGUCUUCGGAUCGUAAAGCUCUGUUAUUAGGGAAGAACAAAUGUGUAAGUAACUGUGCACGUCUUGACGGUACCGAAUCAGAAAGCCACGGCUAACUACGUG